rnacentral:rRNA from 1 species
UGCCUACGGGACGCAUCAGUCUUUAAUCUUUCACACUUUCUUCCACUCUGAUGCAGUGACGCCGCGUGCAGGAAGAAGGUUUUCGGAUUGUAAACUGCUUUAGAUAGGGAAGAUAAAAGACUGUACCUAUAGAAUAAGCUCCGGCUAACUACGUGCCAGCAGCCGCGGUAAUACGUAGGGAGCAAGCGUUAUCCGGAUUUAUUGGGUGUAAAGGGUGCGUAGACGGGAAUUUAGGUUAGUUGUGAAAUCCCUCGGCUUAACUGAGGAACUGCAACUAAAACUGAAUUUCUUGAGUGCGGGAGAGG